rnacentral:lncRNA from 1 species
AUGGACAUCCAUAGGUGUGGAAGUGGAAUCCUAGGAGAUUCGCUCGAGGAAGACAUGCUUAAAAUGUCUCUGGAGAAUCCAGCCUCAAAAAUGCCCUCCCUGGAUUACCACCCUUGGCUAUGUAUAAAGAAGCCAACCCUAGCUUCUCCUCCCAUUGCCCUGCUCUUCCUGUCGAGCCAUGGGCCUUGCCUAAGAACAAGUCCAGAGUGGACAUUGUACCUGACUCCUCAUUCUAUGGUCCCCAUGCAGCACAUGACAAUAUCAAGGCCAAGCCCUACCUCCACUGAGCAUCAGGCCCAGCCCACAUCCAGCUCAUUCCCAAGCCUCAGGGUGGGUCAACUAGAAAAGAAGUGCGCGGGCACGGGCGUGUGUGUGUGUGUGUGUGUGUGUGUGUGUGUGUGUGUGUGUGUGUGUGUGUGUGUGUGUGUGUGUGUGUGUGUGUGUGUGUGGUGGAGGAGAUGCCAGGGAUCAGUUUCCAGACACAAAGGUGAAGGUGGCUGAGUUCCCUGGGUGUUUGAAAGAUUCAGAGCAUCUGGGCAUAGUUGGAGUAUGUUCCUAGUGCCUGAGGAAACCCCAGAAGGGCAAGCUGAGCUAGAGAAUGGUCCAUUGUUCCUGGAGGGCCAUGGGUCAUCUCUAUGAUUCUUCACAACUGAUUCUUCACACAGCAGGUAGAUAACAGUGAGGGGCCUUGAAUGCCAGGCUGAGACACUUGGAACCCAUCCAGAAGGUAGUGGAGAGCCACAGGCAUUGAGAGAGAGGGAGGACGGUGGGCUGGAACUGAAUUUUGG